UGGCGCUCCCUCACCGCCUAAUGGCUUUA
rnacentral:piRNA from 1 species